rnacentral:tRNA from 1 species
UCGGCAAUAGUUUAGUGGUGAGAAUUCCACGUUGUGGUCGUGGAGACCUGGGCUCGAAUCCCAGCAGACGAG